UACGUAGGGGGCGAGCGUUGUCCGGAUUUACUGGGCGUAAAGGGCGCGUAGGCGGCGCGGUAAGUCACUUGUGAAAUCUCUGAGCUUAACUCAGAACGGCCAAGUGAUACUGCAGUGCUAGAGUGCAGAAGGGGCAAUCGGAAUUCUUGGUGUAGCGGUGAAAUGCGUAGAUAUCAAGAGGAACACCUGAGGUGAAGACGGGUUGCUAGGCUGACACUGACGCUGAGGCGCGAAAGCCAGGGGAGCAAACGGG
rnacentral:rRNA from 1 species